rnacentral:rRNA from 1 species
CUUAACACAUGCAAGUCGAGGGGCAGCACAGGUAGCAAUACCGGGUGGCGACCGGCGCACGGGUGAGUAACGCGUAUGCAACUUACCUAUCAGAGGGGGAUAACCCGGCGAAAGUCGGACUAAUACCGCAUGAAGCAGGGGCCCCGCAUGGGGAUAUUUGCUAAAGAUUCAUCGCUGAUAGAUAGGCAUGCGUUCCAUUAGGCAGUUGGCGGGGUAACGGCCCACCAAACCGACGAUGGAUAGGGGUUCUGAGAGGAAGGUCCCCCACAUUGGUACUGAGACACGGACCAAACUCCUACGGGAGGCAGCAGUGAGGAAUAUUGGUCAAUGGCCGAGAGGCUGAACCAGCCAAGUCGCGUGAGGGAUGAAGGUUCUAUGGAUCGUAAACCUCUUUUAUAAGGGAAUAAAGUGCGGGACGUGUCCCGUUUUGUAUGUACCUUAUGAAUAAGGAUCGGCUAACUCCGUGCCAGCAGCCGCGGUAAUACGGAGGAUCCGAGCGUUAUCCGGAUUUAUUGGGUUUAAAGGGUGCGUAGGCGGCCUUUUAAGUCAGCGGUGAAAGUCUGUGGCUCAACCAUAGAAUUGCCGUUGAAACUGGGGGGCUUGAGUAUGUUUGAGGCAGGCGGAAUGCGUGGUGUAGCGGUGAAGUGCAUAGAUAUCACGCAGAACCCCGAUUGCGAAGGCAGCCUGCCAAGCCAUGACUGACGCUGAUGCACGAAAGCGUGGGGAUCAAACAGGAUUAGAUACCCUGGUAGUCCACGCAGUAAACGAUGAUCACUAGCUGUUUGCGAUACACUGUAAGCGGCACAGCGAAAGCGUUAAGUGAUCCACCUGGGGAGUACGCCGGCAACGGUGAAACUCAAAGGAAUUGACGGGGGCCCGCACAAGCGGAGGAACAUGUGGUUUAAUUCGAUGAUACGCGAGGAACCUUACCCGGGUUUGAACGCAUUCGGACCGAGGUGGAAACACCUUUUCUAGCAAUAGCCGUUUGCGAGGUGCUGCAUGGUUGUCGUCAGCUCGUGCCGUGAGGUGUCGGCUUAAGUGCCAUAACGGGCGCAACCCUUGCCACUAGUUACUAACAGGUGAUGCUGAGGACUCUGGUGGGACUGCCAGCGUAAGCUGCGAGGAAGGCGGGGAUGACGUCAAAUCAGCACGGCCCUUACAUCCGGGGCGACACACGUGUUACAAUGGCGUGGACAAAGGGAGGCCACCUGGCGACAGGGAGCGAAUCCCCAAACCACGUCUCAGUUCGGAUCGGAGUCUGCAACCCGACUCCGUGAAGCUGGAUUCGCUAGUAAUCGCGCAUCAGCCAUGGCGCGGUGAAUACGUUCCCGGGCCUUGUACACACCGCCCGUCAAGCCAUGGGAGCCGGGGGUACCUGAAGUCCGUAACCGCGAGGAUCGGCCUAGGGUAAAACUGGUGACUGGGGCU